AUUGAACGCUGGCGGCAGGCCUAACACAUGCAAGUCGAGCGAGCGGCGGACGGGUGAGUAAUGUCUGGGAAACUGCCUGAUGGAGGGGGAUAACUACUGGCAACGGUAGCUAAUACCGCAUACCAUCAGAAGUGCCCAGAUGGGAUCAGCUAGUAGGUGGGGUAACGGCUCCCCUAGGCGACGAUCCCUGGCUGGGCUGAGAGGAUGACCAGCCACACGGGAACUGGGACACGGUCCAGACUCCUACGGGAGUCAGCAGUGGGGAAUUGUGCACAAUGGGCGCAAGCCGGAUGCAGCCAUGCCGCGAGUGUGAAGGAGGCCUGCGGGUUGUAGAGCUCUUUCAGCGGGGAGGCGUUACCCGCAGAAGAAGCACCGGCUAACUCCGUGCCAGCAGCCGCGGUAAUAC
rnacentral:rRNA from 1 species